rnacentral:rRNA from 1 species
UACAGAGGGUGCAAGCGUUGUUCGGAAUUAUUGGGCGUAAAGGGCGCGUAGGCGGUGCGGUAAGUCUGUAGUGAAAUCUCUGGGCUCAACUCAGAGUCUGCUGCAGAAACUGCCGUGCUUGAGUGUGGGAGAGGUGAGUGGAAUUCCCGGUGUAGCGGUGAAAUGCGUAGAUAUCAGGAGGAACACCUGUGGUGUAGACAGCUUACUGGACCACGACUGACGCUGAGACACGAAAGCGUGGGUAGCAAACAGG